rnacentral:lncRNA from 1 species
GCUAAGCAGCUGAAUGAGGCGCUUGAGUCUGUGCGAGCUAGAGAGAGAGUCUCCGGUCUGAGAAGACAGACACUCUCAGAAUCAUGCAGAGGAGUUGGAGAAGCUGCGCUCUAACUGUGACCUCACUGACUGGAGAGAGAGACCAGCUCCAGGAGAUACUGGAGGGAAUCCGAGAGGAGAGGAACCAGCUCAAGAGAGACCUGGAGGACAAAGUGGAGAUGGUGAGUAACUUAAAUUCUCAAAUCAUUCUCAAGAAAUAAACAUCAUUUAUUUGACCCAUGAAUGUGAUUUCUUUGAACCAGUCCUUCAAAGGAACAAAACAGCCCAAGUCAGUAAAAGCCUCUACUCAUCCAGGUGAUGGUGUCUCAUAGUUGCAUGUUUACUGUUUUGUCACAUUUUGUUCAGAUGCAGCAGCUAGAGGAAGAAGGCACACACAUGAGAGAUGAGAGGGCCCAGAUUCAGGGAGACCUGCAGGAAAAUAUGGAGAUGGUCAUACAAGUCCAGAGGACAUUAGAACAGCAGCAACGUCUGAACUCACAACAGCAGGCUGAGCGCGAACAACACGAGGACAAACUUAAACAACAAAUGAAGCAGCUGGAGGAGGAAUGUAAAAGUUUCAAAGAAGGACAGUUUCACUUCGAAGUCGAAGCAGACACCUCACGCAAGAUGCUUAGUGACGCGAACGCAACCAUCUCCAUAUUGACAGAGCAGAUCAAUAACCUGGAGCAGAGCACCAGCUGUUGUACCACCAGGGCAGGAGAGGGACUGUGUUCCAGACUGGAAGGUUCAAUGCAGAAGCUCCAGGUGUCACUGGUGAGGCUCCAGCUUGUUAUCAAUGGUGCUUCUAAGCCUGGACAUGGGCCCUUGGUUGAUGUCACACAAGUUGAAGAAGUCAUGAUACUGAAACUGUUGCCCCUUCUUCCAAAGCCCACACAAAAGAUGUAUAGCAAUAUCAAUAGAUCUACUGUCCAGAUCACUAACACCGUGUGGGAUACAAAGGUACGAAUAAUCACAUCUUUGUCAUAG